GAUAAGCACGGUCUGAAUGCUCUGCUGAACUGGGACCUUGCUGUGGUGGAGAUGAGGGGUGACUCCAUGGAGCUGAAGGAGAUGUCUCGUGAAAAAGGCUCUGGUCUGAGGUACAGCAGGGGGAAGAGCAAACAGCGAAGAACUUUACUGGUUGAAACCUGUGGGCAUCUGUGUCAGCUCCUCCUUCACCAGCACUUCUGCUAUAACCCAAAGAAAAACAGCAGCAGCGGAGAGGCGUAGCAGCAAGUGUGUCAGUUUGGCACAGAAGGUACUUUCCUUGGACAUGUGACCAGAUGAUGCAGUUGUCCAGAUGAAAUUCAGAAAACAAAAAACAAUGCAUGAUAAGAAACUGAAAGAAGCCAGGAAUGUGUUGUUUUAUGAAUGCAGAACAUCAGCUAUAAAAUCACUGAGACUGACAAAUUGUUUUUAAUCAUGUAAAACCACCAUCCAAAAAUUUAAUAUGAGCUUUGGGCAGCAAAGGAUUGUUUUGUAUUUUACAGGUAGAUCUCAUCACUCAAGGAUUUCAAAGGCUCUGCAAAACCCAGGUUUAGCUCUUCCUUUUUGUAAUUACAACUCUUCUCAGUUAUGUAGUCAUUUACUGGGCAUUGUUAAAACUCUGGUCUGUACUCUCAAUUGCUCUAAGGCCUGACCUAAUCUUACAGUUCUGCAGAGUCACAGAAGCAGCAUACAUUUGUUCCCAAUUCUGUCAAAAUCAGGUUCCAAACAGGACACCAUGCCUAUGUGACAAGAAGAAGGUCAUCCCCUGCUGC